CACCGGGAGCGGGGAGGAGGGGGGAGGAUCUUUACACCCGCGGCCCCUAGCUCUGCCAGCCAGGGAACCUGCGGUGGCUUCCUCUACCUCCUCCAGCUUCCUAGCCUGGUCUGAGAGUCCAGUUCAGGGCUGGGGAGGAGGAAGUCGCGGCCCAGCGGGGACAGCAACAGGUGGGAAGCUCAACCUCCAGGCCACUGCUAAUUGCAGCCUGGCCUUGGGCAGAAAAGCUUCCUAGUGCGUCUCUGAGACCCACGCGCCCCAGUUUCUUUCCAGGGUGGAGGCCGGUUGUACACGUUCCUGUAAGGGCCUCGGAGGUGCCAGUGCCUGAGAAAGACGUCUGCAACCGGGAGGGAAUGAAUGAUCACUGUGGUGUGUUUCCCUCUAUCCCUUCUCCUGCAUAGAGACCUUCGAAAUCACAGCGCAUUCAACAGCAACUCGCGGUAUAUGCUGAAGAAUUUUCCAAACUGUAUGAACACCCCCAUCCCCGGCUCCCACAGGACACGUUUUCAGCCUGUGCAGAUGAUGUCAGCAAUGCUCCAGUUGAGACAGAUCUGCUACUGAGUUUUCUUUCAGAGGAACCUAAAAGGGCUAUUACAUCAUGGAAAAAAAAUAGCCUCAAGAGCUGAGUUGCAAGGAGCAGCAUUCUGUGGCUUGAGUCUGGCUGACAAAAUGUUUUCAUCCAUUGUCACAUCAGGGUGAACUCGACCCUCGCCUUUGGUCUUGGGUCCAUCAGAGGAGCCAAGAAUUUGAAUGUGGAGCCCACAGAUGAAGGGCUGAGAACUCAGUAGCUGUUCAGACCAUGACGCUGGAUGUUUCAGAAGUCCCAAUCUGGUGCUGAAGACUUCCAGCAUUGUUGGAGAGCUUCUGGUCUUCAGUCCUCAUUGGAAAGCCCAAGAAGGUGGGUUGUGAUAUCACUGUAAGAUGGCAGCAGCAGUAGCUGCAGCAAUAGCAUGGUCACACUCAAAAGUAACACUGUUUUCUCUCUGCUCUCUUUAUGUCUGGAGUAUAUCUUUAAUGGUCUUCUACUCUGAGAAAGGGUCUUCCUCCUUCAGUUUAUACUAUCCAGAAAUGCCCUACAGAUCCUCCAAGAGGUAUGUCUCUUAGUUGAUCUGAGAUAUAAUCAAUUUGACUACUUUCCUAUUCUGUUUUCUAUUCCUAUGAUUAACACUGACCGAAACCAACCAGGACAGGAAAAGGUUUAUUGGGCAUAUAGGUUUCAAUCCCUCAUGGAUGGAAUUCAAAGCAGGAACUGACAUAGAGACCACAGAGGAAUGUUGCUUAUUGUUGUUCUUUCUCUGUGUUGUUGAGCUACCUUUUCUUAUUCAGCCCUGGACAACCUGCCUAGGGAUGGUGCACCCAAAGUGGACUAGGCUGAGCUAUAUCAAUCAUCAGUCACAAAAAUGCCUUCUCAGACAAGCACACAGGUCCUACUGAUAGAAGUAAUUCCUCAAUUAGGAUUCCCUCUUCCCAAAUAUGUCUAGGUUUGUGUCAAGUUAACAAAAAUUAUGAAAACAAUCAAUGUUAGCUGUCAAAGGAUUUCACAAAUUCAAUGAUAUGUCAUAGCUACCUCAUAGCAACUUUGUUGCAAACCAAAUAUUGAAUUGUGAUAAGGGAAGCACAUCAAGAGCAUUCUAGUUUUUGUUUACAUCAUAACAAAUGAUAGUCACAAAUGGAACUAUAUUCAUCAGUCACAUAGCUGCAGUG